rnacentral:rRNA from 1 species
AGAGGUCCCAAGCGUUGUUCGGAUUCACUGGGCGUAAAGGGUGCGUAGGCGGUCGGGUAAGUUUGAUGUGAAAUCUCUGGGCUUAACCCAGAAAUGGCAUUGAAUAUUAUUCGGCUAGAGAGUCGGAGGGGGGACUGGAAUACUUGGUGUAGCAGUGAGAUGCGUAGAUAUCAAGUGGAACACCAGUGGCGAAGGCGAGUCCCUGGACGAUUUCUGACGCUGAGGCACGAAAGCUAGGGGAGCAAACAGGAUUAGAUACCCUGGUAGUCCUAGCUGUAAACGGUGCACGUUUGCUGUAAAAGGAAUCGACCCCUUUUGUGGCGUAGCUAACGCGAUAAACGUGCCGCCUGGGAAGUACGGUCGCAAGAUU